rfam:Pseudogymnoascus sp. WSF 3629 unplaced genomic scaffold scaffold_84, whole genome shotgun sequence.
GCCCCCAUAGCUCAGUUGGUAGAGCGCGGCACUAGUAUCGGAUCACGUGAUCUGGACAUGCCGAGGUCUACGGUUCAACUCCGUAUGUGGGCA